UACAGAGGGUGCGAGCGUUAAUCGGAAUUACUGGGCGUAAAGCGUGCGUAGACGGUUACAUAAGUCGGGUGUGAAAGCCCCGGGCUCAACCUGGGAAUUGCAUUCGAGACUGCGUAGCUAGGGUGCGGAAGAGGGAAGCGGAAUUUCCGGUGUAGCGGUGAAAUGCGUAGAUAUCGGAAGGAACGACCAGUGGCGAAAGCGGACUUCCUGGUCCAG
rnacentral:rRNA from 1 species